CAAAUUGUCUAUGAGAAAUAUCAGGCCCUACAGCUUCAGUAUUACGACUUUGUAUUCGCUGACGUAGGUAAUUACCCGUAAUAAUUUGUUUACGGUUGGCCAGGUAGUUGCAGCGGGAUGAAAAUGGUUAUGGACGCUAAGGAUACCCGAUCAACAUCGAUGACUGGCCAAAGGAUGGGACAUCCUCGAGGCUGCUGGUCACCAGGACAAUCUCCAGUGGACUUGGGAGCACACCGGUUGAAAAUGAAUCACGUCGAUCCGCAUACUACUCUCGCUUACUAAGACUGAUAUCUCGUGACCAUGCUAAUUGUAUAAUGUUUAUAAGUAGCUAUUAAUGAAUUAUAAUGAUACAGUAUUAUAAUUUGCGUACAGAUGUCGAUGGUAUUGAUUUAGAACUGUAACCAAUUUUAUAAUAGCAUUGAUAAAGAUAAAUGCUGUGCAAGAAGUAUUCACUUAAUUGUAAAGUACCGUUGAAUUUUUUAAACCGUUUUUCUCGAAAACGCUAAAAAUGGAUGUGCAAUAUUUCAACAAUAAAUUUUCAAUAUACAAAUAUACGAAAUAUUAUGUUUAAAAAUCUGAAGAAGUAAUCUAUUUUUUUAAAUUUAAAGUGGCUAGGUAUUAUUACUUACAAAGUUUAUUGAAUCCAAUUUACAUAACGAUUUAAGACGAUUUAAGUUUAUUGGUUCUUUUUGGCAUCGAUUUUCAAACAACUUGUGUGUAGAAACUUGACAUGUUGCUAAAUAAAUUUCAAACAAAAUGAUAGUAUAUUUCCAGAUUAAAAAAAAUUUUCAUUUGACAAUCUACAAAAUAAAACUGUAUUUGGUAAUUCAUAAUUUGUAAUCAUUCAUAAAUCGAAGAAUGGGAGCAACUUUUUGUAUUAAAUACAUAAUUAUUUAAGAAACUUAAAUUUUUAUGAGUAAGCAGAAAGGAAAACCAUUAAUAGUUUCGGAAACAAAAAAUUGUUUUGGCAGUUAAAAUACAUAAAAGCUCGAAAAAAUUAAGGGCAUGAUGUAUUCUAUUUAAAAUCAUUGGUUUAGAAGAUCGUUUGAGAAUGAACAUAUAUGUACAUAUUAACAUACUAAUCAAAGUAUAGAAUUCCAAACUUCAUUUAUGGUGUUCUGUCCUACGCUCUAUUUGUAAUUUCAUAUUAAAAUUUAAUUUUAAUUUUCACCGCUAUAAACGCUACAAUCUUAUUCUGUACUGAAUCGGUAACAUUGGGAAAGACACUAAAAUGGUAAGGAAACUCUAGAGUACGGUUGCAUACACAGGCCUGAACAUUCUAGCGGGAAAGAUCGCGAUUAUAUAAACAGGCACAAAAAAUUCUCAUUCUGCGAAUGAGUGAUAUGUUAUAAAAGUCUCUGACAAAGCAAGAGACAAAACACUCCAUGUUCAUUUUUUGCGACUUCAUUUUCGGAUAGUUUUCGAUCGAUUUGUUGAGCUUUUACAUUUAACGCUACUUUCGCCAUUCUUACCGCUGAAGACCUAUAAAGAAGAACAGAGUUCAGUUGCAGACACGGCCGUGUUGCAGAUUGCAGACACAGGGCACGUCACGCAACGAAGCCCAACAGACUAACAAAUCGAUUGAAGCACCUUACUUUUAGAAACAUUUUCUGACUCAUAAGUGAUUUAUCCCUUCCACUCUAAUUUCCAGACCUGUAUAUACAACCAUGAUCUAUUAUAGGGCUCGUAAAUCUUGGGAAGAAAAAAGCAUUGAGUGCCAGCUAUUCUGUAUUAUGUCUGUAUUACCACUCAAUGCAUUUCUUCAUCCCAACCUUACCGACAAAGUACAGAAUCAAGGAUAAAUAUAGAGAUCAACGUUUAUGGACGAAACACAGUCAAAAAAUAGACACUGAGGAUAAGAGCCUCUGAUGAUCAACGAUUGCACUAUCCGCCAAUGUGCUCCUGAUGGUAAAAACGAUUGAAUGCCAGAGGAAACAUACAUACACUACCAAAGGUGAGUUUGGGGUACUUAUUUAUACUUAGUAUAAAUUGUUUUCUAUUGCUUUUAUUUUCUAGUUAUUUUCUUAUAAAUUUAUUAUUAUUAUCCUAACGUCAACAAUUUUCAUUUAUUCGUUACAGGUAUAUGUAUAUCAUUUCUUAUGAUAAUUGUUUACGAGAUUGGUAUUGAUUAACAUAUUUUUCAAUUAACAUAUAUAUAUAAGAUAGUCUGAAAGAUAUUA